rnacentral:rRNA from 1 species
GAUGAACGCUAGCUACAGGCUUAACACAUGCAAGUCGAGGGGCAGCAUGAUUGAAGCUUGCUUCAAUCGAUGGCGACCGGCGCACGGGUGAGUAACACGUAUCCAACCUGCCGAUAACUCGGGGAUAGCCUUUCGAAAGAAAGAUUAAUACCCGAUAGUAUAGUAUUUCCGCAUGGUUUCACUAUUAAAGAACUUCGGUUAUCGAUGGGGAUGCGUUCCAUUAGAUAGUUGGCGGGGUAACGGCCCACCAAGUCAACGAUGGAUAGGGGUUCUGAGAGGAAGGUCCCCCACAUUGGAACUGGGACACGGUCCAAACUCCUACGGGCGGCAGCAGUGAGGAAUAUUGGUCAAUGGACGAGAGUCUGAACCAGCCAAGUAGCGUGAAGGAUGACUGCCUUAUGGGUUGUAAACUUCUUUUAUACGGGAAUAAAGUGGAGUAUGCAUACUCCUUUGUAUGUACCGUAUGAAUAAGAAUCGGCUAACUCCGUG